UACGUAGGGGGCAAGCGUUGUUCGGAAUUACUGGGCGUAAAGGGCGCGUAGGCGGUCAGCACAAGUCAGUUGUGAAAUCUCCGGGCUUAACUCGGAAAGGUCAACUGAUACUGUGCGACUAGAGUGCAGAAGGGGCAACUGGAAUUCUCGGUGUAGCGGUGAAAUGCGUAGAUAUCGAGAGGAACACCUGCGGCGAAGGCGGGUUGCUGGGCUGACACUGACGCUGGUGCGCGAAAGCCAGGGGAGCGAACGGG
rnacentral:rRNA from 1 species